rnacentral:rRNA from 1 species
GGGGAAUCUUGCGCAAUGGGCGAAAGCCUGACGCAGCAACGCCGCGUGGGGGAUGAAGGCCCUCGGGUUGUAAACCCCUUUCAGCAGGGACGAAACUGACGGUACCUGCAGAAGAAGCCCCGGCCAACUACGUGCCAGCAGCCGCGGUAAUACGUAGGGGGCGAGCGUUGUCCGGAUUUAUUGGGCGUAAAGAGCUCGUAGGCGGUUCGGUAAGUCGGGUGUGAAAACUCUGGGCUCAACCCAGAGACGCCACCCGAUACUGCUGUGACUAGAGUGCGGUAGGGGAGCGGGGAAUUCCUGGUGUAGCGGUGAAAUGCGCAGAUAUCAGGAGGAACACCAGUGGCGAAGGCGCCGCUCUGGGCCGUGACUGACGCUGAGGAGCGAAAGCGUGGGUAGCAAA